rnacentral:rRNA from 1 species
CCCUUAGAUGUCCUGGGCCGCACGCGCGCUACACUGAUGCAUUCAACGAGUAUUUCCUUGGCCGAGAGGCCUGGGCAAUCUUUUAAACCUGCAUCGUGAUAGGGAUAGAUUAUCGCAAUUAUUAAUCUUGAACGAGGAAUUCCUAGUAAACGCAAAUCAUCAAUUUGCAUUGAUUACGUCCCUGCCCUUUGUACACACCGCCCGUCGCACCUACCGAUUGAAUGGUCCGGUGAAAUCUCGGGAUUGUGGCCAGUUCACUUUAUUGGGAGUUGGCUGCGAGAACUUGCUUAAACCUUAUCAUUUAGAGGAAGGUGAAGUCGUAACA